rnacentral:rRNA from 1 species
CAAUAGCGUAUAUUAAAGUUGUUGCGGUUAAAAAGCUCGUAGUUGGAUUUCUGCUGAGAACGACCGGUCCGCCCUUUGGGUGUGUAUCUGGCUCUUUCUUGGCAUCUUCUUGGUGAACGUUGCUGCACUUGACUGUGUGGAGCGCUACCCAGGACUUUUACUUUGAGGAAAUUAGAGUGUUUCAAGCAGGCAUACGCCUUGAAUACAUUAGCAUGGAAUAAUAAGAUAGGACCUCGGUUCUAUUUUGUUGGUUUCUAGAGCUGAGGUAAUGAUUAAUAGGGAUAGUUGGGGGCAUUAGUAUUUAAUUGUCAGAGGUGGAAUUCUCAGAUUUGUUAAAGACUAACUUAUGCGAAAGCAUUUGCCAAGGAUGUUUUCAUUAA